GAUGAAGAACGCAGCGAAAUGCGUUAAGUAAUGUGAAUUGCAGAAUUCAGUGAAUCAUCGAAUCUUUGAACGCACAUUGCGCCCCCUGGUAUUCCGGGGGGCAUGCCUGUUCGAGCGUCAUUUCACCACUCAAGCCUCGCUUGGUAUUGGGCAACGCGGUCCGCCGCGUGCCUCAAAUCGACCGGCUGGGUCUUCUGUCCCCUAAGCGUUGUGGAAACUAUUCGCUAAAGGGUGUUCGGGAGGCUACGCCGUAAAACAACCCCAUUUCUAAGGUUGACCUCGGAUCAGGUAGGGAUACCCGCUGAACUUAAGCAUAUCAAUAAGCGGAGGA
rnacentral:misc_RNA from 1 species